CUCAGAGAUAUUUAUAUUUGAAUGAGUGGAAACCAAAAGAAUGACAUGAAAUUUAAAAUGGUAUUAAAAAAAGGAAAACCUAAUACAGAAUUUCAGGCAUCAAUGAAACAAAUAACCAAGAUACCCUGUAAAUUCAUGCUCUAAUAGUUUGAAUUUUUUGCUUAUUGUGACUUUCUUGGUUAGGAAUUAUUUCAUUACAAAGAACAGAAAACUACAUAUGUGAUAUCAAGAAAAAAAUAAAGCUGCAAGACCCUCUUCUCUUCGGCUUCUCACUGACCUAGAAAGAACUAAUGAAUAAGGUCUAAAACAGAUGCAAAGGCAGUCCACAUAAGAAGUAUACUGCUGCGGGUAGAAAUUACUUCAUCAGAUUUUUUUUGCUACUACCUCAAAGACCUAAAGCAGCACCUCAAAGAAACGAGAAAUUUCAUGAGUAAGGGAAGGAAAGGAACCGGGAGAUCAGAAAACACCAGGAUGAAAGGCUGUGUGAAUAUGGGCAAGAGCCGUGACCUUUCCAAGCCCCAGUUACUCUUUGAAAGGUGGAGAUAAAUAAAAUUAUCUAAUUGAAUGCG
rnacentral:lncRNA from 13 species